CAGACCAAUUUAACGAGCUUGGGCAGGCUGGGAUGCCAGAUAACCACCUAGAAGUUGGUUUGAGCUUCGGUUAGAAGGACUCUGUUUUAUAUGACUGAUUGACAUGACAGAGCCUGAAUAUGAAAAUCUCUUAUCCUCUCAUAUUUCUCUUAGUGGUGUUUAACUUCAUUCUUAAUGACCGGAGAAAAGGGCCGAUCUGGAACGUGAUCAUGUGGACUGCGCUGUUCUUGGGUCAGGGGGUUCUCAUCUGCCUGUACUCUCAGGAGUGGUACGCACAGCGCUUCUGCCCCAUUCAAGAGCCUUCUUUCAUAGACUUGCUAAAACCUCGAUCCUGGACUUGUUCUCCAUAGACUAACACUGCUGUAGAUGCUCACUAAAGCCACAACACCAGCCACAAGAUGAAUGGGAUUUAUACUCUACUCGUUCUGGAACUUUUUUAGCAUUCUGUAGGUAUUGCACUCUGACCAAACAAAAUGAAAAGUGACAAUCUUACUCUAUAAUCAUGAGGACACCGUUUUAUAAAGAGGCCUUAGAUAUUUGAUUUGUUUAGAUCUUAAUAUUUAUGAAAACAUCUGUAAUAGAAUGUAGAAUGUCUAUAAUGUGCAUUUUGAAUAUUUAGGUAUUUCCUUUGAAAUGUCUAUGUGACGGUCUAGUUAGCAUUAGGUUAUGUCUGAUCUGGAGAUUCUAUUUUUUAGAAGCCUCUGUGAUGUCCUAAAUUUGAGAUCAGAUUAUACAGUAAAUGUGUUUUGUUUACUGCCACUUCUUAGAUAUCCUUAGAUAUUGUGUUUUGAUAUUGUAGUGUUAUUCCAGUACUGCAGAGGCCAUGGAUAUGGGGUACAUUUUAACCAGUUUUUGCCUGGACUGCACAAAAUCAUAGAAUGUUUACAAGCGGGGUUGAGAAUUCUAAAACCCCAAUGGAUUUAAAUUAUGUGCCAUACUGCUGUGAAACAGUUUUUUUUUUACUUCUUACCUUUUACUCCUAGACUUUUAAUUAAAAUGAAGAUGAUUUGGGUGGAAAUUCUCCAUUCUGCCAGUUUUAUUUACCAUAGUUACUGUUUGAAGAGUUAGACUUGUAGUCUGGACUUAAAGAGUUCUGGAAAUUUGUACUUAAUUUUUUUCCCCUUUCCAUAGAGCUAAACUAAUUAGAUACUAAUUUAAAAGCCAUGCUUUAGGACAUAUUUAUUACAAAAUAGGGUAUCAAAUGUUUGGAAGUUUUGAGGUUUUGCAGCUGGCUGCACUCAUGUGAUCAUUACUAAUGGUUUUCAAGCACAAUCCCUUUAUUAGUUACAAAUUAUGUACACUGCCAGAGUAUGCAGGGUAUUUAUUGUAAAAAAAAAAAAAAAAACAUCAUAAAGUCUAGGCCUUUUUGAAUGUCAUUUAUCAGUGCACAAAAGAGUUUUGAGUGAAUACUCUCUCCAGUUCCACAAAAUGUAUGAGACUGUCUGUAUAAUAUUUUAAAAACAUACUUGCAAUAGCUGUGACGACCGGCAGGUGGUGAUGGAGAGUUGAAUGUUAGAACUACUGUAUAUUUGCACACAGCAUUUUAGAUUUUAUUUCUUUAUGGCACCUGCCAUGUAAAUGUUCAGUUGUAAUUUCCAGAAUAGUCGAUGGCUGUAAUUUUCAUAACAAAAAAAGUGAAAACUAUUUUGAAAUAAUCUAAACGAAUGUCAUUUUUAAACAAAUUUUCAUCAUAAUUUAUCUUGUGAAAUGUUCAGCGUGUAGCCUGUACCACCAUGCUUUGCAAUGGACAAUUAAACAGUU